AUUGAACGCUGGCGGCAUGCUUUACACAUGCAAGUCGAACGGUAACAGGCCGCCAGGUGCUGACGAGUGGCGAACGGGUGAGUAAUGCAUCGGAACGUGCCCAGUCGUGGGGGAUAACUACUCGAAAGAGUAGCUAAUACUGCAUACGAUCUAUGGAUGAAAGCGGGGGACCGUAAGGCCUCGCGCGAUUGGAGCGGCCGAUGUCAGAUUAGGUAGUUGGUGGGGUAAAGGCUCACCAAGCCAACGAUCUGUAGCUGGUCUGAGAGGACGACCAGCCACACUGGGACUGAGACACGGCCCAGACUCCUACGGGAGGCAGCAGUGGGGAAUUUUGGACAAUGGGCGCAAGCCUGAUCCAGCAAUGCCGCGUGCAGGAAGAAGGCCUUCGGGUUGUAAACUGCUUUUGUACGGAACGAAACGGCUCUGGUUAAUACCCGGGGCUAAUGACGGUACCGUAAGAAUAAGCACCGGCUAACUACGUG
rnacentral:rRNA from 1 species